UCUGGGCAUGGUGGUGCAUGCCUAUAAUCCCAGUUACUCAGGAGGUUGAGGCAGGAGGAUCACAAAUUCAAGGCUAGCCUCAGCAAUUUAUGAAGGCUCUAAGCAACUUAGUGAGAGACCCUGUCUCAA
rnacentral:sRNA from 1 species